rnacentral:sRNA from 1 species
CUGCGUUAAGGAUAGUAGCGGCAUCCCCCAAGAACUUGGGGAUACAGCGGAUAGCCUGUCCCGCC